AGAGUUUGAUCCUGGCUCAGAUUGAACGCUGGCGGCAGGCCUAACACAUGCAAGUCGAGCGGUAGCACAGAGAGCUUGCUCUCGGGUGACGAGCGGCGGACGGGUGAGUAAUGUCUGGGAAACUGCCUGAUGGAGGGGGAUAACUACUGGAAACGGUAGCUAAUACCGCAUAAUGUCGCAAGACCAAAGUGGGGGACCUUCGGGCCUCAUGCCAUCAGAUGUGCCCAGAUGGGAUUAGCUAGUAGGUGGGGUAACGGCUCACCUAGGCGACGAUCCCUAGCUGGUCUGAGAGGAUGACCAGCCACACUGGAACUGAGACACGGUCCAGACUCCUACGGGAGGCAGCAGUGGGGAAUAUUGCACAAUGGGCGCAAGCCUGAUGCAGCCAUGCCGCGUGUGUGAAGAAGGCCUUCGGGUUGUAAAGCACUUUCAGCGGGGAGGAAGGCGGUGAGGUUAAUAACCUCACCGAUUGACGUUACCCGCAGAAGAAGCACCGGCUAACUCCGUGCCAGCAGCCGCGGUAAUACGGAGGGUGCAAGCGUUAAUCGGAAUUACUGGGCGUAAAGCGCACGCAGGCGGUCUGUCAAGUCGGAUGUGAAAUCCCCGGGCUCAACCUGGGAACUGCAUUCGAAACUGGCAGGCUAGAGUCUUGUAGAGGGGGGUAGAAUUCCAGGUGUAGCGGUGAAAUGCGUAGAGAUCUGGAGGAAUACCGGUGGCGAAGGCGGCCCCCUGGACAAAGACUGACGCUCAGGUGCGAAAGCGUGGGGAGCAAACAGGAUUAGAUACCCUGGUAGUCCACGCCGUAAACGAUGUCGAUUUGGAGGUUGUGCCCUUGAGGCGUGGCUUCCGGAGCUAACGCGUUAAAUCGACCGCCUGGGGAGUACGGCCGCAAGGUUAAAACUCAAAUGAAUUGACGGGGGCCCGCACAAGCGGUGGAGCAUGUGGUUUAAUUCGAUGCAACGCGAAGAACCUUACCUGGUCUUGACAUCCACAGAACUCUCCAGAGAUGGAUUGGUGCCUUCGGGAACUGUGAGACAGGUGCUGCAUGGCUGUCGUCAGCUCGUGUUGUGAAAUGUUGGGUUAAGUCCCGCAACGAGCGCAACCCUUAUCCUUUGUUGCCAGCGGUUAGGCCGGGAACUCAAAGGAGACUGCCAGUGAUAAACUGGAGGAAGGUGGGGAUGACGUCAAGUCAUCAUGGCCCUUACGACCAGGGCUACACACGUGCUACAAUGGCAUAUACAAAGAGAAGCGACCUCGCGAGAGCAAGCGGACCUCAUAAAGUAUGUCGUAGUCCGGAUUGGAGUCUGCAACUCGACUCCAUGAAGUCGGAAUCGCUAGUAAUCGUAGAUCAGAAUGCUACGGUGAAUACGUUCCCGGGCCUUGUACACACCGCCCGUCACACCAUGGGAGUGGGUUGCAAAAGAAGUAGGUAGCUUAACCUUCGGGAGGGCGCUUACCACUUUGUGAUUCAUGACUGGGGUGAAGUCGUAACAAGGUAACCGUAGGGGAACCUGCGGCUGGAUCACCUCCUU
rnacentral:rRNA from 1 species